rnacentral:lncRNA from 1 species
GGCCGACUGCGCAUGCGCGACUAGCGGCGCCUCGACUUGGCGGCCUGGGUCUUGGCCGCGAGCAGAGCCAUCUUGCGCUUGCGGCUGCUCUUGUCGUUGUGCGCCGCCUCGUCGUCGUCGUGGGCGUCAUCGUCCGGUUGGUCUCUGUCGCCGCCGUCGUCAUGGCUUUGGUCCUCCUCUUCUAGACUCUCGUCCUCUUCGACCUCGUCCUCAUCGUCUUCUUCCUCGUCAUCUUCCUCGUCCUCGUCAUCGUCAUCGACCUCGUCGUCGAUAAAGUCGCGGGCCGACAGGCGGCGUGGCUUGGCGGCCGGGGUACGGGACGUGCGCGCGCGCUUGGC